rnacentral:tRNA from 1 species
AAUAAUUUAGUUUAAAAACAUUAAACUGCAAGUUUAAAAUACUAACUAAUAAAUCAAUA